rnacentral:rRNA from 1 species
ACGGUUGUGAAGCCAACAAUUGGCACCUCGUUUGACUUGAUUGAUGAGGCAUAUGAGUUCUACAAUCUUUAUUCUUGGGAGUGCGGUUUUGGUGUCCAUCUUUCAAGCAGCAGACUGAAUGUUGACAGGAACAAAGCCACGCAAGAAAUUGUAUGUGCAUGUGCGGGCAAACCACUAAAGGAGAACACCCGUUCAACGAGAUGUGGUUGCACCGCUAUGAUUAGGCUGCUUAGGUCCAGUGAUAAUGGUUGGUACAUAUCAGAACAUAAAGAAGCUCAUAACCAUCCAUUGUCUUUGACUUGCGGGGAGAAAAUGCAUUGGAAG